rnacentral:lncRNA from 1 species
UUGAGUCAAUGCAUAGGUACAUGUUAGAGAACGAUGUACUGGACAGACCCACCGUGAGAAUUCUAUAUGGAGCAUUAUGCGAAGUGUCAUUAGCAAUUCUCAUAGUGACAAUGAUGUAAUGGUCCUCCGACCUGAAAUCGCUAUAUUACUACACGAGAAUUUAUGUACUUUGAUAUCAUCAAAUGUCACCUUUAAUAGGGUGG